UAGUCCACGCCGUAAACGAUGGAUACUAGUUGUUGGGAUUUAUCUCAGUGACUAAGCGAAAGUGAUAAGUAUCCCACCUGGGGAGUACGUUCGCAAGAAUGAAACUCAAAGGAAUUGACGGGGCCCGCACAAGCGGUGGAGCAUGUGGUUUAAUUCGAUGAUACGCGAGGAACCUUACCAGGGCUUAAAUGUAAGUUGCAUGAUCUAGAGAUAGGUCUUUCUUCGGACUACUUACAAGGUGCUGCACGGUCGUCGUCAGCUCGUGCCGUGAGGUGUCAGGUUAAGUCCUAUAACGAGCGCAACCCCUAUCGUUAGUUGCUAACAGGUUAAGCUGAGGACUCUAGCGAGACUGCCGGUGCAAACCGUGAGGAAGGUGGGGAUGACGUCAAAUCAUCACGGCCCUUACGGUCCUGGGGCUACACACGUGCUACAAUGGGUCGGUACAGAGGGGCAGCCACUACGCGAGUAGGGCGCGGAAUCCCUUAAAACCGGNUCUCAGUUCGGGAUCGGGAGUCUGGCAAC
rnacentral:rRNA from 1 species